AACAGCUAGCUUAUCACUAAAAUAACUAAACAAUAUAAAUAAAUAAAACAAACCUAACACCAUAAACUAAAACAUUCUUUUACCUGAGUAUGGGAGACAGAAAAGGUUCAACCAAAGCAAUAGAAAUAGUACCGCAAGGGAAAGCUGAAAGAGAAAUGAAAUAACCCAUAUAAGCACCAAAAAGCAAAGAUUAAACCCUGUACCUUUUGCAUCAUGAUUUAGCCAGUCCACCCAAGCAAAGAGACCUUUAGUUUGAAACCCCGAAACCAGGUGAGCUACCCCGAGACAGCCUAUUAAGGGCUAACCCGUCUCUGUGGCAAAAGAGUGGGAAGAGCUCCGGGUAGAAGUGACAGACCUACCGAACCUGGUGAUAGCUGGUUGCCUAAGAAAUGAAUAGAAGUUCAGCCUCAUAUGCCUCAAAUCAGACAAACCAAGAUAUUAGGAGAAACACAUGAGAGUUAGUUAAAAGGGGUACAGCCCCUUUAACAAAGGACACAACCUUACCAGGAGGAUAAAGAUCAUAAUACAUAAAACAUUCCGUUCUAGUGGGCCUAAAAGCAGCCACCUACACAGAAAGCGUUAAAGCUCAGACAGACAAAAGUUUAUUAUUCCGAUAAAAAAUCUUACUCCCCUAAAUAUUAUUAGGCCAAUCCAUGCCCCCAUGGAAAAAAUUAUGCUAAAAUGAGUAACAAGAAGACCCGCCCUUCUCCCAGCACAAGUGUAAGCCAGACCGGACUAACCACUGGCAACUAACGAACUCAACCCAAGAGAGCAUUGCGAAUCACAAAAACUCCAAGAAGAGCCCGCAACUAAACAAUCGUUACCCCCACACUGGAGUGCUACUAUAGGAAAGACUAAAAGAAAAGGAAGGAACUCGGCAAACACAAGCCUCGCCUGUUUACCAAAAACAUCGCCUCCUGCAAUACAAUCAAGUAUAGGAGGUCCAGCCUGCCCAGUGACCACAAGUUCAACGGCCGCGGUAUUUUGACCGUGCAAAGGUAGCGCAAUCACUUGUCUUUUAAAUAGAGACCUGUAUGAAUGGCUAAACGAGGGCUUAACUGUCUCCCCUUUCAAGUCAGUGAAAUUGAUCUACCCGUGCAGAAGCAGU
rnacentral:rRNA from 1 species